rnacentral:rRNA from 1 species
GACGAACGCUGGCGGCGUGCCUAAUACAUGCAAGUCGAGCGGACAGAAGGGAGCUUGCUCCCGGAAGUUAGCGGCGGACGGGUGAGUAACACGUGGGCAACCUACCCUGUAGAUCGGGAUAACAUCGAGAAAUCGGUGCUAAUACCGGAUAAUCAUUUGAAGUGCAUGCUUCGAAUGUAAAAGAUGGCUCCGGCUAUCACUACGGGAUGGGCCCGCGGCGCAUUAGCUAGUUGGUAAGGUAAUGGCUUACCAAGGCAACGAUGCGUAGCCGACCUGAGAGGGUGAUCGGCCACACUGGGACUGAGACACGGCCCAGACUCCUACGGGAGGCAGCAGUAGGGAAUCUUCCGCAGUGGACGAAAGUCUGACGGAGCAACGCCGCGUGAGUGAUGAAGGUUUUCGGAUCGUAAAGCUCUGUUGUUAGGGAAGAACAAGUGCCGUUUGAAUAAGGCGGCACCUUGACGGUACCUACCAGAAAGCCACGGCUAACUACGUGCCAGCCGCCGCAGUAAUAC